rnacentral:rRNA from 1 species
AACGCGAAGAACCUUACCAUCCCUUGACAUGGCGUGUUAUCCGGAGAGAUCCGGGGUCCCCUUCGGGGGCGCGCACACAGGUGCUGCAUGGCUGUCGUCAGCUCGUGUCGUGAGAUGUUGGGUUAAGUCCCGCAACGAGCGCAACCCACGUCCUCAGUUGCCAUCAUUAGGUUGGGCACUCUGGGGAGACUGCCGGUGAUAAGCCGCGAGGAAGGUGUGGAUGACGUCAAGUCCUCAUGGCCCUUACGGGAUGGGCUACACACGUGCUACAAUGGCGGUGACAAUGGGCAGCGAAAGGGCGACCUGGAGCGAAUCCCCAAAAGCCGUCUCAGUUCGGAUUGCACUCUGCAACUCGGGUGCAUGAAGGCGGAAUCGCUAGUAAUCGUGGAUCAGCACGCCACGGUGAAUACGUUCCCGGGCCUUGUACACACCGACGCGUA